GACGAACGCUGGCGGCGUGCUUAACACAUGCAAGUCGAACGAAAAGAGGGAAAGAGCUUGCUCUUUCCGGAAUUGAGUGGCAAACGGGUGAGUAACACGUAAACAACCUGCCUUCAGGAUGGGGACAACAGACGGAAACGACUGCUAAUACCGAAUAAGUUCCAAGAGCCGCAUGGCCCAUGGAAGAAAAGGUGGCCUCUACCUGUAAGCUAUCGCCUGAAGAGGGGUUUGCGUCUGAUUAGCUGGUUGGAGGGGUAACGGCCCACCAAGGCGACGAGCAGUAGCCGGUCUGAGAGGAUGAACGGCCACACUGGAACUGAGACACGGUCCAGACUCCUACGGGAGGCAGCAGUGGGGAAUCUUCGCAAUGGGCGAAAGCCUGACGGAGCAACGCCGCGUGAGUGAUGACGGCCUUCGGGUUGUAAAACUCUGUGAUCCGGGACGAAAAGGCAGAGUGCGAAGAACAAACUGCAUUGACGGUACCGGAAAAGCAAGCCACGGCCAACUACGUG
rnacentral:rRNA from 1 species